rnacentral:rRNA from 1 species
GGGGGGGGGGGGGGGGGGGGGGGGGGGGGGGGGGGCGGGCGGGGGAGGGGGGCUGGCUCGUGGGGUCGGCGGGGGAGGGGGGAGUAAGGCCGAGGAAUCUGCGGGGUGGGGGGGGAUAACGGCCGGGAACGGGCGCUAAUACCGCAUACGCCCUGCGGGAGAAAGUGGGGGAGCUUCGGACCCCACGCUAUCAGAUGAGCCUAGGUCGGAUUAGCUAGUUGGGGGGGUAAAGGCAUACCAAGGCGACGAUCCGUAACUGGUCGGAGAGGAUGAUCAGUCACACUGGAACUGAGACACGGUCCAGACUCCUACGGGAGGCAGCAGUGGGGAAUAUUGGACAAUGGGCGAAAGCCUGAUCCAGCCAUGCCGCGUGUGUGAAGAAGGUCUUCGGAUUGUAAAGCACUUUAAGUUGGGAGGAAGGGCAGUAAGUUAAUACCUUGCUGUUUUGACGUGACCAACAGAAUAAGCACCGGCUAACUUCGUG